GACGAACGCUGGCGGCGUGCUUAACACAUGCAAGUCGAACGGAAAGGCCCUGCUUUUGUGGGGUGCUCGAGUGGCGAACGGGUGAGUAACACGUGAGUAACCUGCCCUUGACUUUGGGAUAACUUCAGGAAACUGGGGCUAAUACCGGAUAGGAUCUCCUGCUGCAUGGUGGGGGUUGGAAAGUUUCGGCGGUUGGGGAUGGACUCGCGGCUUAUCAGCUUGUUGGUGGGGUAGUGGCUUACCAAGGCUUUGACGGGUAGCCGGCCUGAGAGGGUGACCGGCCACAUUGGGACUGAGAGACGGACCAGACUCCUACGGGAGGCAGCAGUGGGGAGUAUUGCACAAUGGGCGGAAGCCUGAUGCAGCAACGCCGCGUGCGGGAUGACGGCCUUCGGGUUGUAAACCGCUUUCGCCUGUGACGAAGCGUGAGUGACGGUAAUGGGUAAAGAAGCACCGGCUAACUACGUG
rnacentral:rRNA from 1 species